GUAGGUGGCAAGCGUUGUCCGGAAUUAUUGGGCGUAAAGCGCGCGCAGGCGGUUCUUUAAGUCUGAUGUGAAAGCCCACGGCUCAACCGUGGAGGGUCAUUGGAAACUGGAGAACUUGAGUACAGAAGAGGAAAGCGGAAUUCCACGUGUAGCGGUGAAAUGCGUAGAGAUGUGGAGGAACACCAGUGGCGAAGGCGGCUUUCUGGUCUGUAACUGACGCUGAGGCGCGAAAGCGUGGGGAGCAAACAGGGAUUAGAUACCCUGGUAGUCCACGCCGUAAACGAUGAGUGCUAAGUGUUAGGGGGUUUCCGCCUCUUAGUGCUGCAGCUAACGCAUUAAGCACUCCGCCUGGGAGUACGGCCGCAAGGCUG
rnacentral:rRNA from 1 species